rnacentral:rRNA from 1 species
UACGGGGGGAGCAAGCGUUGUUCGGAUUUACUGGGCGUAAAGGGCGCGUAGGCGGCGUGACAAGUCACUUGUGAAAUCUCCGGGCUUAACUCGGAACGGUCAAGUGAUACUGUCGUGCUAGAGUACAGAAGGGGCAACUGGAAUUCUCGGUGUAGCGGUGAAAUGCGUAGAUAUCGAGAGGAACACCUGCGGCGAAAGCGCGUAACUGGGCCUGAACUGACACUGAGGGACGAAAGCUAGGGGAGCGAAAGGG